rnacentral:rRNA from 1 species
GCGAACUGGUGAGUAACACGUGGGUAACCUUCCCUUGAAGUAGGGGAUAACACUUGGAAACAGGUGCUAUUACCGUAUAACAACCAAACCGAAUGGUGUUUGGUUUAAAAGAUGGCUUCGGCUAUCACUUUAGGAUGGACCCGCGGCGUAUUAGCUUGUUGGUAAGGUAAUGGCUUACCAAGGCAAUGAUACGUAGCCGACCUGAGACGGUAAUCGGCCACAUUGGGACUGAGACACGGCCCAAACUCCUACGCGAGGCAGCAGUAGGGAAUCUUCCACAAUGGACGAAAGUCUGAUGGAGCAACGCCGCGUGAGUGAUGAAGGGUUUCGGCUCGUAAAACUCU